rnacentral:rRNA from 1 species
CUGACCUGCGGAGGGAUCAUUA